UGCCUGCAUGCUGCCUGCUGUGCUCCUUCCUGCUGCCACACUGCUCUGAGGCCACUGCUCCUGCCCUACAGAGUGUCCAUGUCCUUGUGGGAAAGAGGCUGGGAAGGAGUUACCUUCCCAGAAGGUUGUCUCAGGAUCAACACACCCAACUUCAUUACACUCCUGAAAAAGUAUCACUGCAGAGCCCAAAGCAUCACUUGGCAGAAAGAAUGUGCUCAUAUCAGCUGUCUUCCCUUUCAUCCUCUGCUACGCCAUCUCUUCAGAAAAUCAGGCUGAAGGCUCACGUGUGGCUGGGCCUGGACACAGGAGCUGAAGGUCGUUUUGCUUUCAGGAUCUCCCUGCUGCAGCAUCUUGAUUUUCUUUACGUGAAACUAUCAGUGAAGGCUCGUUGAGUUUGUAAAGCUUUGAGAAUGUUCCUAUUAUUCUUAGAUAUUACAAAAGCUUGCUUUUCAAAAUAAAAUAAA